rnacentral:tRNA from 1 species
CCUGGUAGCUCAGACGGUAAAGCGUCUGCCUACAAUGCGGGAGACCCGGGUUCAAUCCCUGGGUCAGGA